UACGGAGGGUGCAAGCGUUGCUCGGAAUUAUUGGGCGUAAAGGGUAGGUAGGUGGUCUCAUUUGUCUGGGGUGAAAGCCUUGGGCUUAACUCAAGAAGUGCCCCAGAAACGGUGAGACUGGAGUCCUGGAGAGGGUCGUGGAAUUCCCGGUGUAGCGGUGAAAUGCGUAGAGAUCGGGAGGAACAUCUGUGGCGAAGGCGACUACCUGGACCAGCACUGACACUGAGGCACGAAAGCGUGGGGAGCAAACAGG
rnacentral:rRNA from 1 species